UGGCCAUAGCUCAGUGGCAGAGCAUCUGCUUUGUGUGCAGAAGGUCGUAGGUUUAGUCCCCAGUGGUUUAG